UUGUGUGGCUGUGUCUUACUGAAUGCAACUGAUCUCACCUAAUUUUGGAAGUUCAGCAGUCCUGGGCCUAGUUACCACUUGGAUGAGAGAUUAUUUUGGAAUCCCAGCUGCCUUAGAGA
ensembl:rRNA 5S_rRNA 5S ribosomal RNA